AUUGAACGCUGGCGGCAGGCCUAACACAUGCAAGUCGAAUGGUAACAGGAAACAGCUUGCUGUUUCGCUGACGAGUGGCGGACGGGUGAGUAAUGUCUGGGAAACUGCCUGAUGGAGGGGGAUAACUACUGGAAACGGUAGCUAAUACCGCAUAACGUCGCAAGACCAAAGAGGGGGACCUUAGGGCCUCUUGCCAUCAGAUGUGCCCAGAUGGGAGUAGCUAGUAGGUGGGGUAACGGCUCACCUAGGCGACGAUCCCUAGCUGGUCUGAGAGGAUGACCAGCCACACUGGAACUGAGACACGGUCCAGACUCCUACGGGAGGCAGCAGUGGGGAAUAUUGCACAAUGGGCGCAAGCCUGAUGCAGCCAUGCCGCGUGUAUGAAGAAGGCCUUCGGGUUGUAAAGUACUUUCAGCGGGGAGGAAGGGAGUAAAGUUAAUACCUUUGCUCAUUGACGUUACCCGCAGAAGAAGCACCGGCUAACUACGUG
rnacentral:rRNA from 1 species